rnacentral:rRNA from 1 species
AUUGAACGCUGGCGGCAGGCCUAACACAUGCAAGUCGAGCGGAUGAAGGGAGCUUGCUCCUGGAUUCAGCGGCGGACGGGUGAGUAAUGCCUAGGAAUCUGCCUGGUAGUGGGGGAUAACGUCCGGAAACGGGCGCUAAUACCGCAUACGUCCUGAGGGAGAAAGUGGGGGAUCUUCGGACCUCACGCUAUCAGAUGAGCCUAGGUCGGAUUGGCUAGUUGGUGGGGUAAAGGCCUACCAAGGCGACGACCCGUAACUGGUCUGAGAGGAUGAUCAGUCACACUGGAACUGAGACACGGUCCAGACUCCUACGGGAGGCAGCAGUGGGGAAUAUUGGACAAUGGGCGAAAGCCUGAUCCAGCCAUGCCGCGUGUGUGAAGAAGGUCUUCGGAUUGUAAAGCACUUUAAGUUGGGAGGAAGGGCAGUAAGUUAAUACCUUGCUGUUUUGACGUUACCAACAGAAUAAGCACCGGCUAACUUCGUG